rnacentral:rRNA from 1 species
GAAGUUUUCGGAUGGAUUUCAAGAUACCGAGUGGCGGACGGGUGAGUAACGCGUGGGUAACCUGCCUCAUACAGGGGGAUAACGGUUAGAAAUGACUGCUAAUACCGCAUAAGCGCACAGUACCGCAUGGUACGGUGUGAAAAACUCCGGUGGUAUGAGAUGGACCCGCGUCUGAUUAGCUAGUUGGUGGGGUAACGGCCCACCAAGGCGACGAUCAGUAGCCGACCUGAGAGGGUGACCGGCCACAUUGGGACUGAGACACGGCCCAGACUCCUACGGGAGGCAGCAGUGGGGGAUAUCGCACAAUGGAGGAAACUCUGAUGCAGCGACGCCGCGUGAGUGAAGAAGUAUUUCGGUAUGUAAAGCUCUAUCAGCAGGGAAGAAAAUGACGGUACCUGACUAAGAAGCCCCGGCUAACUACGUGCCAGCAGCCGCGGUAAUACGUAGGGGGCAAGCGUUAUCCGGAUUUACUGGGUGUAAAGGGAGCGUAGACGGCGACGCAAGUCUGAAGUGAAAUACCCGGGCUCAACCUGGGAACUGCUUUGGAAACUGUGUUGCUAGAGUGCUGGAGAGGUAAGCGGAAUUCCUAGUGUAGCGGUGAAAUGCGUAGAUAUUAGGAAGAACACCAGUGGCGAAGGCGGCUUACUGGA